AUUUGUCUGGUUAAUUCCGAUAACGAACGAGACCUUAACCUGCUAGCUAGUUCUCAAUACUCUGUAUUCUGCAACUUCUUAGAGGGACUAUGUAAAUCAAUUACAUGGAAGUUUGAGGCAAUAACAGGUCAGUGAUGCCCUUAUAUGUCCUGGGCUGCACGCGUGCUACACUGAUGCAUACAACAAGUGCCUAGCCAGACAUGGUAUGGCAAUCUCGAAUAUGCAUCGUGAUGGGGAUAGAUCUUUGCAAUUAUAGAUCUUGAACGAGGAAUUCCUAGUAAGUGCAAGUCAUCAUCUUGCAUUGACUAUGUCCCUGCCCUUUGUACACACCGCCCGUCGCUCCUACCGAUACCGGGUGAUCCGGUGAACCUUUUGGACUCCGUAUGGGGGAAGAUAAGUAAACCAUAUCACCUAGAGGAAGGAGAAGUCGUAACAAGGUUUCCGUAGGUGAACCUGCRGAAGGAUCA
rnacentral:rRNA from 1 species